GGCUUGUUAGCUCAGUUGGUUAGAGUGCAGUGUUGAUAACACCAAGGUCAAGGGUUCAAAUCCCUGUACAGGCCA